rnacentral:tRNA from 1 species
GGGGUUGUGGCUCAGCGGUAGAGCACUUACCUAGCACGUAUGAGACCCUGGGUUCGAUCCUCAGUACCACA